UAAUUAUCUUUUCAUUUUUUCCAUCUUUGUUGCGUUAUUUUUCAAUCUGUCGUUCUACGUAGGUGUUUUAUCGCAUGGAAUUGCUCGUUCGUUGACCGGUGUUGAUUGUUAUUCUUUGUCGUUGGUGUUGUUGGAAACGGUUUCUUCGGCUUUGCUGUUCGGUAUCUUCGAUGAUCUUCGGUGGUACUUUCGGUCUCAAGUGUUCGGUGAAUUUUUCAAAAUUGGAUAGAUUUUUGUUCGUCGAUUUGUUCGUUUCUUACUUCCUGCGUUUGCUGAACAGGUGGCGGCAGUGGUAUUACUGGAUGGACAUCUUUUUUUACUUCAAUUUUUGGCCAACGUUUUGCUGGGUACUCGAUGGCGAAGAUUUGCUUAAUUUCCGGAGGUGAGACAUUUAUUUUAUCGUUCCUACCUAUUUCUUGAUGUUUUGCUAUAGGCUUUUCUUCUUUUUUCAGGUGCGGAUCGAGUGAAUUCAUCCAAUCAGCGAAGGAGAAAUUUGGUUUUGCAGAUUCGAAGGCAUUACUGCUGGAUGGUAUACUAUUUUUGUAAAAAUUUUCGUUGUUAUUUUUAUUAUUUUUCGCUUGUACUUUUGCAUCCCUGUUUUGCUUUGCUUGUUGUUCGUAUAUUCGUAAUUUCGCGUACCAAUUUGACCAAAAGUCAGUGGCCUUUGGGUCAAUUUUAUCGAUGCACUUAAUUUUAUCGUUUUUCAAGCCUUUGUUAUCGAUCUGCAUCGCCACUUUUAUCGUAUCUCGAUCGCUCGCGAUUUGCUUAUCUUUUUCGUCGAUACUACUUUUUAUUCGAUUUUUGGAAUUUGCCAAGCUGGUUUUAUUGCUGGCGAUUUCUUCUCUUUUCUUCUCCAUCCAGGCAGUUUUCCAUUUUAUUUUGCGCAAUUUUGGGUUGGUAUGCGUGUCUAAAUUUGUCGUAGGUAGGGUUUUUGGAUCUUGCUUAUCAUUUGUGUCGACCCGAUUUUCUAUGUAUCGAGUAGAAGUAGGUGAAAAAUUGUUUUGUUUUUUCGAUGUUCUGUUUUUGUUGUUGUUUUCUGCAGACUUUUUCAAUUCAUAAACCUCCUCAAAUAUCCAACGGCCGGUAUCUCCUGAAUUUAGUCGUUGAACUGCGCUUGUAAGCAUUCGGAGAGCGGUUUUCUGGAAACUAGGGAUUACUGGGGGUUUUCUAGUCUUGUGGUAUCGUUGGAAACGAUCACAAUGGACUCGAACGUUCCCUCUGUCUGUUAAAAUUUGCCUAUACUUCGUUUUGUCGAUGAAUAAAUCAGCAAUUCGGGUGAUUAAAUUUGUAUUUGUCAUUUUUGUAAUUUUUUUAUAAAUUUCGAUAAAAGUUAAAUAUCUUCGGAGGCUUUUUGCAUUUUUUCGACCUCGUACAUAGGGCAGGAGGAUCGGGAAAAUUACACAAAUUUGUUUUGCUCCUUUUUCUUUUAUGUAUUCAAUCGUUUUUCGAAGAUAAAACUCAACAAAGUGAAAAUCAAUGUCACGUUCAUUGAGCUCAUUUUCUCCAAUUGACAAAAUUACAUUUUCUCUAAAUUCCGGUAUUUUCUUGAUUUGGUCGUAGUGUUCGGUGAUCGAUCGAUUGUUAUAUAAACGCCCAUUUACUAGGCCUUCUCCCAAUAUGUCAUAAAUUUUUUUAUCGAUUUUGAUAGUCCGGAUUUCCCCCCUCGUUGCAGAUAUUUCUGCACACAUCGUCACUUGGCGUUUUUUGGGUCAGUUUUCUGCCCCUCUGACUUUUCAUCUCGGGGUGGCGGGGGGUUUCCUUGAUGAUUUCUUUGAUCGUAGUAUCUGUUGCGGUUCCAGCGAUAAUUUGGAUCAUAGUUUCUCCCUUGGUAUCUUGGGUUCCUUUCCUCUUCGUGAUUCUGCUGCCUAUCUUCUUUUUGUUCAUAGUUUUUACUUCUAUCUUCAUAAUUUUUACUUCUGUCUUCCCUAUUGUCUUGGUAUCUACGGUCUCUGUUAUGCGGUUCUUCUCGACGAUAAUCUCUUCUUUCGUAAUUGUUUCGUCGAUAAUUCUCCCUAUCGUGGUAUCGGUAAUUAAUAUUUAUUUUUGACUGGUCUUCUUCUUCGUCCCAAGUUAUGGUCAUGUCGUCCGUGUCCAUGUUUUUGACAGUCUCUAACUUAGCCAUAAUUGAGUCUUUAUUGGUCAGUCCUUCGCUAUUGGUUUGCUGUUUAAUGCACUUAGGGAAUUUUUUAUACACCUUGGAGAUAAUCAAUUUUUCUCUGGUAUCGGUUUUUAACAAGGUGUCGUACCAAUUAGAGAUGUAUUCGAUGAAAUCGAUAAUUUUUGUAAUGUGUCUUGGGAUUUCUUUUUCAAAAGCCAUUACAGCUGCACUUUUCACAUUAUCGUCCCAAAAAAUAUCUAAGAAGUAUUCUUGUAAUUCUUCAAAAGUCUUGGCUUUUUGGACUUUUUCGUUCCAGGCAGUUGAUUCGAUUUUCACACACGAAGCUAGCAGCAUUCUUCGAUUAUCUGGAUCGAUAUUUUGAGUUACCGCCGGUGUUGUAAAUUGAGCCAAAAAUUUGUGUGGGAAAAAUCUAUUUUUUUGCUCAAAAUUAGACACAUUUUUGUAGAAUAAAUCGAUGAAAAUUUUAUCUGAUCCGCUAGCUGGAACUGUAGCCACUUGUACGUUCUUCAUCGUAUUAUUUAAAGCCAUCUUCGCUCCUUCAACAAUUGUUUUAACGUUUGCAUCGACUAUGCCCAUAAAUUUGUCGUGUGCAUCUGAUUCAAUUUUAUCCAGGCUAUCUUCCAUAUUCAAUUUUAAUUGAUCGAAAUAAAUUUUAAUAUCUUUUUUCACGUCUGCAUUCAGAAGGGCAACUAUUUCGGUUUUUAUUUCUUCUUUUAGCGCUUCUUUAAGUUCUUCUUUUACUAGAUUUUUUAAUUCUUCUUUUAAUUCGGAUUUUAUAUCGUUUUUUAAUUCGGAUUUUGCUAGACCUAAGUCAUUUUGUAAUUUAUUUUCUAAUUCGUUGAGAUUUUCUUGAGUAAUCAUUUUGAUCUUUCUUUUUCUAGGUUUGGUUACUUUUGGAAUUGGUGGUGGAGCAAUUCGAUUACGAAGUUUAAUACCCUGAGGAAAUACUCGCGCUGGUGAUGAAGAUUUUACUGUUGUUUUAGGUAUUUUGAAGAUUUUUUGUAAUUUUAUUUUUUGAAAAAAUACAACUGAGAGUUCGUG